UCUUCUUUUUGGAAUCUUGAAUUCACACUUCAUGAGCUUUCUCUAGGUUCCAUGAUCAAGCUUUUCUCCUACUUUAAGCAAUCAUUGUGCUCAUUUGAUUUUUCACUUCAUCCAUUUCAUCUCAAGGAAAAUCUGAUGGGGUGGUUGGUGUUGAAGAAAAUGAUUUAUCUUCAAGUUCAGAUUCUGUGGAUGACUUUUCAACAUAGGUUAUUAUCUUCUUUAAUCUAUUUGAUGGGGAUCAAGAAUUAAUUCUUUGGUGAUUUUAAUUAUGUAAUAUUUGCUUCUU